UUUUAGGAGACAUAACACUGAAACGGAAGCUCUAAAAGGGCGGUGGUCUUCUAAUCUAUCUCUAUGAGGCUCAGCACAAUGGUUGGCACUUUACAUAUAACAGGGUACAGAGAAAACAGAAGCUCAGAUACAUGCCUUGUCCAAUUUCACACAGCUAAUCCAUGGCAGAACCUGAUAUGAAACAAGCUGUAUAAAUGGAAGGAAGACAAUGCAUGACUCUCCUUCAGCAUCAAGCUUACAUCCAUUGCGAGUUAUUCACAUAUUAAAAUUUAAGGCUGUCUGUGAGACGUUGUGCAACUAUGAUAGG